CUCCUCCCGCGCACUCUACAGUAGUGGAUGGAAGGUGAGCGACCUACACAAACAAAAAUACACGUAACUCGCUGAAAUCUUGACGGAUUUAAAAACGUUUUGGUUUAUUAAAAACCUUAUUAACGUGGCUAUGAUUCAGGCCGCGUGGAAAUGUUGAAAGUGCAGCUUUUCUUUUCGAAAAUCGAUUUCAUUUUGUUGCAUAGUUGUGUGUCUGUCACAGCCAUUGAUUUGCAAGGCUGCAAUUUGGGAGUUUCAGUUAUUACAUACGUUUCCGUGAGACCAAUAAGAAAUUGUGACAACCACAUAUUUUGUAUAAAUGACGAUUUUUGUGGAUGUAGUUGUGUUUAUUAACUAGCAAAGAAACAAGAGGUUGUGAAUGUGACAUAGUGGUCCACUGGGACUAUUACAAAGUAGCCUAGACAUAAUUCUUUACAGGUGGGAAAGGCAGAAUUACCCCUUUGUUUUAACAUACAUAAUAUGUUUCCAAGCUGUUUCAUUCGUAAAAUAUAUCCUUAAUUUAGAUUCAUUGUGAUACAGUAAAUGCCUGGCUUUGUGUUUACAGAAAUACCCCGACAGUCCAAGAUGCCAGACUUUUGUGCUGCACAUGGAUGCUCAAAUGAACGUUCUGUUCAAACAAGAGCCCGUGGAAUCACCUUUCACUCGUAAGAAAUGACUUGAGGGACAUAUUUAGGAUAAUUGUUACUAACUUAGUUAAAUUUGUAUUUGCACAAUACACGUUAUUUUCACCCUGACGUUUUAGAAAUAUUUCUACCAUUUGUUUACAUAAUAAUCAUUGAAUAUUUAUUUUUCACAUUUUUUUUUACAUGUUACUGUUAUUGACUUAUUUAAGUUUACAUAAUGACAUUCAAGCAUAGGCUUUAUGAAUUACCCCAACAGUAUCAUAAUUUAGCUCUAGUUCUGUCCCUGUUUUUCAAAUUAAGGCUGCACCAUAAUGCUUAAAUGACUACGCUUAGCGUACAGAAAGACAAUGUGAGACAAUAGCUCACCAAAACAGUCCUUUUCAAGGGGCAGUAGCUCAAACUGUCCGUGCACUUGUAUAUAUGUUGGUUUUGUUGCGAC